AGUGAACGCUGGCGGUAGGCCUAACACAUGCAAGUCGAACGGCAGCACAGUAAGAGCUUGCUCUUACGGGUGGCGAGUGGCGGACGGGUGAGGAAUACAUCGGAAUCUACUUUUUCGUGGGGGAUAACGUAGGGAAACUUACGCUAAUACCGCAUACGACCUACGGGUGAAAGCAGGGGAUCUUCGGACCUUGCGCGAUUGAAUGAGCCGAUGCCGGAUUAGCGAGUUGGCGGGGUAAAGGCCCACCAAGGCGACGAUCCGUAGCUGGUCUGAGAGGAUGAUCAGCCACACUGGAACUGAGACACGGUCCAGACUCCUACGGGAGGCAGCAGUGGGGAAUAUUGGACAAUGGGCGCAAGCCUGAUCCAGCCAUACCGCGUGGGUGAAGAAGGCCUUCGGGUUGUAAAGCCCUUUUGUUGGGAAAGAAAAGCAGCAGGUUAAUACCCCGCUGUUCUGACGGUACCCAAAGAAUAAGCACCGGCUAACUUCGUG
rnacentral:rRNA from 1 species